rnacentral:rRNA from 1 species
AGGCUUAACACAUGCAAGUCGCAGGGUAACAUGAGGAAAGCUUGCUUUCCUUGAUGACGACUGGCGCACGGGUGAGUAACGCGUAUCCAACCUUCCCAUAACUACGGGAUAACCCGUUGAAAGACGGCCUAAUACCGUAUGAUAUCGUUUGCUGACAUCAAAUAACGAUUAAAGGUUUAGCGGUUAUGGAUGGGGAUGCGUCUGAUUAGCUUGUUGGCGGGGUAACGGCCCACCAAGGCGACGAUCAGUAGGGGUUCUGAGAGGAAGGUCCCCCACAUUGGAACUGAGACACGGUCCAAACUCCUACGGGAGGCAGCAGUGAGGAAUAUUGGUCAAUGGGCGAGAGCCUGAACCAGCCAAGUAGCGUGCAGGAUGACGGCCCUAUGGGUUGUAAACUGCUUUUAUGUGGGGAUAAAGUGCGUGACGUGUCAUGCAUUGCAGGUACCACAUGAAUAAGGACCGGCUAAUUCCGUGCCAGCCGCCGCGGUAA